rnacentral:lncRNA from 1 species
CUCAUCAGUUUUGACCAUAACAGUGCUUCUUCCUCAUCUGAAAACUCAGAUAAACCUCUGAACCUGACUUUUAUCAAGAAGGAAUUUUCAAAUUCAAAUAAUCUGGACAACAAAAGCACUAACCCAGUGUUCGGCACGAACCCUUUUAGUGCCAAACCUUUAUACACAGCUCUUCCACCUCAAAGCGCAUUUCCCCCUGCUACUUUCAUGCCACCAGUUUAGACCAGUAUUCCUGGGCUACGACAAUACCCAACACUGGAUCAGAUAAGCUUCCUACCACAUAUAGCCUACACCUACCCAGCUGGCCACAUACAGCCUACACCUACCCAACUGGAGCAACUACCUUUGCUGAUACGCAGCGAAGGAGAAAGUACCUGCGGAAACAAGGAUUUCAGGGAAUUGCUUUAUGGAGCACAAGACUACAUGUCAGGUCUAGAUGUUAUGACAGACUCCAACUGCUGUCUGUCUCGCAAGAAGAUCAGGAAGACAGAGAGUGGUAUGUAUGCAUGUGACUUAUGUGACAAGAAAUUCCAGAAAAGCAGUUCCCUUCUGCGACAUAAAUACGAACACACAGACCACAUCAGUGUCAGAUUUGUAAGAAAGCGUUUAAACACGAGCAUCACCUUAACGAGCACUCAAGGCUUCACUCGGGCAAGAAGCCCUAUCAGUGUGAUAAAUGUGGCAAGCGCUUCUCACACUCCGGCUCGUACUCGCAGCACAGGAAUCACAGGUAUUCCUACUGCAAGCGGGAGACGGAGGAGCGGGAAGCCGCGGAGAGCAAGGCACGCGAGAAAGGGCACUUGGAACCCACCCUGCUGAUGAACCGGGCUUACCUGCAGAGCAUUAUCCCUCCAGGGUACUCUGACUCGGAGGAGAGGAAGAGUACGCCGAGGGAUGGCGAGAGCUAGAAACAGCGCGAGAAGGCAGGCGAGGAUGGCUACGGGAAGCUGGGCAGACAAGAUGGCGACGAGGAGUUCGAGGCGGAAGAGGA